rnacentral:rRNA from 1 species
AGUGAACGCUGGCGGCAGGCCUAACACAUGCAAGUCGAACGGCAGCGGGUCAGUAGCAAUACUGAUGCCGGCGAGUGGCGGACGGGUGAGGAAUACAUCGGAAUCUACCUUGUCGUGGGGGAUAACGUAGGGAAACUUACGCUAAUACCGCAUACGAACUAUGGUUGAAAGCGGCGGACCGCAAGGCGUCGCGCGAUUGGAUGAGCCGAUGUCCGAUUAGCUAGUUGGCGGGGUAAAGGCCCACCAAGGCGACGAUCGGUAGCUGGUCUGAGAGGAUGAUCAGCCACACUGGAACUGAGACACGGUCCAGACUCCUACGGGAGGCAGCAGUGGGAAUAUUGGACAAUGGGCGCAAGCCUGAUCCAGCCAUGCCGCGUGUGUGAAGAAGGCCUCGG